rfam:Papilio machaon contig68607, whole genome shotgun sequence.
GCGCUAGUUCCGUGCUUCCUUACUUCCCAUAGUGCUAUUAUUCAUAUGGAAUGUAAAGAAGUAUGGAGCUGCGCC